CCAUACAUAAAUAGCCACAAGUUCUCAUACAUGUAUAUAAAAAGUGUGAAGUUGAAACCUACAGACGACAAGGGAAGAAGGAAGCUCUGUCCCAUAGAGGUGAUUCGUGGAGUAAACAUGUUUAUGCCACCAUACCAAAUUGACUGCCCCCUCGAAUUGCACAAUGACAAUAUGCUCUCCUCCUGCGACUCUAACGUAGGCAAAACACUAGUGUUGGAAGGACAUGUAAAAGGGUUAUUGUGCAUUCCAUUGUACAAGCUUGAAUGGAUUAUCUUUUCUGUUGUAUUUGGC
rnacentral:lncRNA from 1 species